GUUGAUUUGAAUUCCUUCAAGGUCUGGUCCUUACCUUUGCCCCGCCUUAUCUGACAUUCUCCUAUUGGUGUUCUGUGCUCCAGUCAAAUGGAAUUACCUGCACUUCCAGCGCUGGUCCCUUUGCUCAGAGAUGAUGCUCAAAAUAUUUAAAGAAUGGGAACUGGCCAAUCAGGACAAACCUGAUAACCACUCAGAACUACUGCAAGAGGGCUUUCUGCUGAAUAUCAUCUCUGCACUGUUUCCAGCACCUUGACCUUGAUUCUCUUCCUGGAGAACGUCUGCAGAUCUUCUACAUGGUUCACAGAGGACUAGCAUUUGAGCAGGGGCUGGAGAAUCUCAAACUCGUGAAGUGUCCAAGGUCUGACUGGAAUAGAACUUUUGGACUCUGACCUUUAUCCUCUACCUCCACUCAGUAACCUACGAAUUCUCCUCUCAGAGAUUUUAAUCCAGUCCCUCCAGCAGGAACAAAGCUCCUUUACCCACUUGAAGCUAAGAAAGAGGUCACAUGCAGCCAACAUGGCAGACUGACAUCGAACCCGGCAUAGCUGCCCAGUCCUGCCAGAUAAACAUAAGGAAAGGUCAUCCAAACACAGGAAGACAGCCGGCCCCUUGCCUUUUCCUUUACCCCCUCCCCUUCCUCCCUCUGGCUCCCUUAUCCCCAGAGGGUGGACCCAGCCUUUCCCAAAGUUUAUUCUCAGAGUUCCAGGCUCCCACAGUGGAACGUGCUGCGGACAUGGGAAUACAACAGCCUGGCCAACAGGGAAAACCAAAAAUAUAAACGGAGAGAUUUAAGAGAUUCCUCUCCCCACUCCCAAAUAUCUGCUUUUAUUGUUAUUGCUGCUUUCACCAUCCUUGAUAUAAGUCAGCCCAUUCUGGAAGGAGGCCUUCUCAAGUUUAUUGCAUUUGUCCGUAAACACUUGGCACAGAAAAAAAAUUGAGCUCUUUCUUAGGAUCUCAGUCCACUGACUGGAUCCACUAAACAAACACAAUAAAAUGUUAGGAAACAAAGUCCCAAAAGUCUUGCAUCUCAAACACUGGCAGUGAGAUUAACAGGAAUACAAAUAACACUAAAA